CUUCCUCUUUUUAUUUACACCAUGUAUAAUACUUUUUCAGGCGAGGCAACAGAAGCAAAGCCUCAACAAUGUAAUGGUUCGAACGAAUGUGGCUUUAACCAAUGUUGUGCCAAUAAAAAUCUUAAAGGACGAAAAAGAUGAUCUCUUAGUUUUGCUGGAGUUUGUAAACCGUGUGGUCAAUAUGAUGCAGAAUGUGCAGUGAAAAAUCAAAAUGCUAAUGACAACGUGUUUCCGGGUUGGUGUCCAUGUACUGCUCCUUUUAAUUGUAAUGGAACAGGAAAUAUUGAAAACCCGUUUGGUGA